GUGCUUGCUUCGGCAGCACAUAUAGUAAAAUUGGAAUGAUACAAAAAUUAGCAUGGCCCCUGUGCAAGGAUAACACACAAACUUGUGAAGCAUUCUAUAUUUUU